GGUUAAGCGACUAAGCGUACACGGUGGAUGCCCUGGCAGUCAGAGGCGAUGAAGGACGUGCUAAUCUGCGAUAAGCGUCGGUAAGGUGAUAUGAACCGUUAUAACCGGCGAUUUCCGAAUGGGGAAACCCAGUGUGAUUCGUCACACUAUCAUUAACUGAAUCCAUAGGUUAAUGAGGCGAACCGGGGGAACUGAAACAUCUAAGUACCCCGAGGAAAAGAAAUCAACCGAGAUUCCCCCAGUAGCGGCGAGCGAACGGGGAGGAGCCCAGAGCCUGAAUCAGUGUGUGUGUUAGUGGAAGCGUCUGGAAAGGCGCGCGAUACAGGGUGACAGCCCCGUACACAAAAACGCACAUGCUGUGAGCUCGAUGAGUAGGGCGGGACACGUGGUAUCCUGUCUGAAUAUGGGGGGACCAUCCUCCAAGGCUAAAUACUCCUGACUGACCGAUAGUGAACCAGUACCGUGAGGGAAAGGCGAAAAGAACCCCGGCGAGGGGAGUGAAAAAGAACCUGAAACCGUGUACGUACAAGCAGUGGGAGCCUCUUUUAUGGGGUGACUGCGUACCUUUUGUAUAAUGGGUCAGCGACUUAUAUUCUGUAGCAAGGUUAACCGAAUAGGGGAGCCGAAGGGAAACCGAGUCUUAACUGGGCGUUAAGUUGCAGGGUAUAGACCCGAAACCCGGUGAUCUAGCCAUGGGCAGGUUGAAGGUUGGGUAACACUAACUGGAGGACCGAACCGACUAAUGUUGAAAAAUUAGCGGAUGACUUGUGGCUGGGGGUGAAAGGCCAAUCAAACCGGGAGAUAGCUGGUUCUCCCCGAAAGCUAUUUAGGUAGCGCCUCGUGAAUUCAUCUCCGGGGGUAGAGCACUGUUUCGGCAAGGGGGUCAUCCCGACUUACCAACCCGAUGCAAACUGCGAAUACCGGAGAAUGUUAUCACGGGAGACACACGGCGGGUGCUAACGUCCGUCGUGAAGAGGGAAACAACCCAGACCGCCAGCUAAGGUCCCAAAGUCAUGGUUAAGUGGGAAACGAUGUGGGAAGGCCCAGACAGCCAGGAUGUUGGCUUAGAAGCAGCCAUCAUUUAAAGAAAGCGUAAUAGCUCACUGGUCGAGUCGGCCUGCGCGGAAGAUGUAACGGGGCUAAACCAUGCACCGAAGCUGCGGCAGCGACGCUUAUGCGUUGUUGGGUAGGGGAGCGUUCUGUAAGCCUGUGAAGGUGUACUGUGAGGUAUGCUGGAGGUAUCAGAAGUGCGAAUGCUGACAUAAGUAACGAUAAAGCGGGUGAAAAGCCCGCUCGCCGGAAGACCAAGGGUUCCUGUCCAACGUUAAUCGGGGCAGGGUGAGUCGACCCCUAAGGCGAGGCCGAAAGGCGUAGUCGAUGGGAAACAGGUUAAUAUUCCUGUACUUGGUGUUACUGCGAAGGGGGGACGGAGAAGGCUAUGUUGGCCGGGCGACGGUUGUCCCGGUUUAAGCGUGUAGGCUGGUUUUCCAGGCAAAUCCGGAAAAUCAAGGCUGAGGCGUGAUGACGAGGCACUACGGUGCUGAAGCAACAAAUGCCCUGCUUCCAGGAAAAGCCUCUAAGCAUCAGGUAACAUCAAAUCGUACCCCAAACCGACACAGGUGGUCAGGUAGAGAAUACCAAGGCGCUUGAGAGAACUCGGGUGAAGGAACUAGGCAAAAUGGUGCCGUAACUUCGGGAGAAGGCACGCUGAUAUGUAGGUGAAGUCCCUCGCGGAUGGAGCUGAAAUCAGUCGAAGAUACCAGCUGGCUGCAACUGUUUAUUAAAAACACAGCACUGUGCAAACACGAAAGUGGACGUAUACGGUGUGACGCCUGCCCGGUGCCGGAAGGUUAAUUGAUGGGGUCAGCGCAAGCGAAGCUCUUGAUCGAAGCCCCGGUAAACGGCGGCCGUAACUAUAACGGUCCUAAGGUAGCGAAAUUCCUUGUCGGGUAAGUUCCGACCUGCACGAAUGGCGUAAUGAUGGCCAGGCUGUCUCCACCCGAGACUCAGUGAAAUUGAACUCGCUGUGAAGAUGCAGUGUACCCGCGGCAAGACGGAAAGACCCCGUGAACCUUUACUAUAGCUUGACACUGAACAUUGAGCCUUGAUGUGUAGGAUAGGUGGGAGGCUUUGAAGUGUGGACGCCAGUCUGCAUGGAGCCGACCUUGAAAUACCACCCUUUAAUGUUUGAUGUUCUAACGUGGACCCGUGAUCCGGGUUGCGGACAGUGUCUGGUGGGUAGUUUGACUGGGGCGGUCUCCUCCUAAAGAGUAACGGAGGAGCACGAAGGUUGGCUAAUCCUGGUCGGACAUCAGGAGGUUAGUGCAAUGGCAUAAGCCAGCUUGACUGCGAGCGUGACGGCGCGAGCAGGUGCGAAAGCAGGUCAUAGUGAUCCGGUGGUUCUGAAUGGAAGGGCCAUCGCUCAACGGAUAAAAGGUACUCCGGGGAUAACAGGCUGAUACCGCCCAAGAGUUCAUAUCGACGGCGGUGUUUGGCACCUCGAUGUCGGCUCAUCACAUCCUGGGGCUGAAGUAGGUCCCAAGGGUAUGGCUGUUCGCCAUUUAAAGUGGUACGCGAGCUGGGUUUAGAACGUCGUGAGACAGUUCGGUCCCUAUCUGCCGUGGGCGCUGGAGAACUGAGGGGGGCUGCUCCUAGUACGAGAGGACCGGAGUGGACGCAUCACUGGUGUUCGGGUUGUCAUGCCAAUGGCACUGCCCGGUAGCUAAAUGCGGAAGAGAUAAGUGCUGAAAGCAUCUAAGCACGAAACUUGCCCCGAGAUGAGUUCUCCCUGACUCCUUGAGAGUCCUGAAGGAACGUUGAAGACGACGACGUUGAUAGGCCGGGUGUGUAAGCGCAGCGAUGCGUUGAGCUAACCGGUACUAAUGAACCGUGAGGCUUAACCUU
rnacentral:rRNA from 1 species